rnacentral:rRNA from 1 species
UACCCGCAGCCCGAGUGGUGCUCGAUUUUAUUGAGCUUAAAGCGUACGUAGCCGGUCUUGUAAAUCCUUGGGUAAAUCGGGCAGCUUAACUGUUCGACUUCCGAGGAGACUGCAUGACUUGGGACCGGGAGAGGUCAGAGGUACCUCAGGGGUAGGGGUAAAAUCCUGUAAUCCUUGAGGGACCACCAGUGGCAAAGGCGUCUGACUAGAACGGAUCCGACGGUGAGGAACGAAGCCCUGGGGCG